GAUGAACGCUGGCGGCGUGCUUAACACAUGCAAGUCGAACGAACGUAAGGAGCUUGCUCCUUGCGUUAGUGGCGGACGGGUGAGUAACGCGUGAGCAAUCUGCCCAUAUCAGGGGGAUAACAGUUAGAAAUGACUGCUAAUACCGCAUAUGACCACGGGAAGGCAUCUUCCUGAGGUGAAAGAUUUAUCGGAUAUGGAUGAGCUCGCGUCCCAUUAGGUAGUUGGUGAGGUAACGGCCCACCAAGCCGACGAUGGGUAGCCGGCCUUAGAGGGUGAUCGGCCACAUUGGAACUGAGACACGGUCCAA
rnacentral:rRNA from 1 species